rnacentral:rRNA from 1 species
UAGGGCGGGACACGUGGUAUCCUGUCUGAAUAUGGGGGGACCAUCCUCCAAGGCUAAAUACUCCUGACUGACCGAUAGUGAACCAGUACCGUGAGGGAAAGGCGAAAAGAACCCCGGCGAGGGGAGUGAAAAAGAACCUGAAACCGUGUACGUACAAGCAGUGGGAGCACAGAGCAAUCUGUGUGACUGCGUACCUUUUGUAUAAUGGGUCAGCGACUUAUAUUCUGUAGCAAGGUUAACCGAAUAGGGGAGCCGAAGGGAAACCGAGUCUUAACCGGGCGUUAAGUUGCAGGGUAUAGACCCGAAACCCGGUGAUCUAGCCAUGGGCAGGUUGAAGGUUGGGUAACACUAACUGGAGGACCGAACCGACUAAUGUUGAAAAAUUAGCGGAUGACUUGUGGCUGGGGGUGAAAGGCCAAUCAAACCGGGAGAUAGCUGGUUCUCCCCGAAAGCUAUUUAGGUAGCGCCUCGUGAAUUCAUCUCCGGGGGUAGAGCACUGUUUCGGCAAGGGGGUCAUCCCGACUUACCAACCCGAUGCAAACUGCGAAUACCGGAGAAUGUUAUCACGGGAGACACACGGCGGGUGCUAACGUCCGUCGUGAAGAGGGAAACAACCCAGACCGCCAGCUAAGGUCCCAAAGUCAUGGUUAAGUGGGAAACGAUGUGGGAAGGCCCAGACAGCCAGGAUGUUGGCUUAGAAGCAGCCAUCAUUUAAAGAAAGCGUAAUAGCUCACUGGUCGAGUCGGCCUGCGCGGAAGAUGUAACGGGGCUAAACCAUGCACCGAAGCUGCGGCAGCGACACUGUGUGUUGUUGGGUAGGGGAGCGUUCUGUAAGCCUGUGAAGGUGUGCUGUGAGGCAUGCUGGAGGUAUCAGAAGUGCGAAUGCUGACAUAAGUAACGAUAAAGCGGGUGAAAAGCCCGCUCGCCGGAAGACCAAGGGUUCCUGUCCAACGUUAAUCGGGGCAGGGUGAGUCGACCCCUAAGGCGAGGCCGAAAGGCGUAGUCGAUGGGAAACAGGUUAAUAUUCCUGUACUUGGUGUUACUGCGAAGGGGGGACGGAGAAGGCUAUGUUGGCCGGGCGACGGUUGUCCCGGUUUAAGCGUGUAGGCUGGUUUUCCAGGCAAAUCCGGAAAAUCAAGGCUGAGGCGUGAUGACGAGGCACUACGGUGCUGAAGCAACAAAUGCCCUGCUUCCAGGAAAAGCCUCUAAGCAUCAGGUAACAUCAAAUCGUACCCCAAACCGACACAGGUGGUCAGGUAGAGAAUACCAAGGCGCUUGAGAGAACUCGGGUGAAGGAACUAGGCAAAAUGGUGCCGUAACUUCGGGAGAAGGCACGCUGAUAUGUAGGUGAAGUCCCUCGCGGAUGGAGCUGAAAUCAGUCGAAGAUACCAGCUGGCUGCAACUGUUUAUUAAAAACACAGCACUGUGCAAACACGAAAGUGGACGUAUACGGUGUGACGCCUGCCCGGUGCCGGAAGGUUAAUUGAUGGGGUCAGCGCAAGCGAAGCUCUUGAUCGAAGCCCCGGUAAACGGCGGCCGUAACUAUAACGGUCCUAAGGUAGCGAAAUUCCUUGUCGGGUAAGUUCCGACCUGCACGAAUGGCGUAAUGAUGGCCAGGCUGUCUCCACCCGAGACUCAGUGAAAUUGAACUCGCUGUGAAGAUGCAGUGUACCCGCGGCAAGACGGAAAGACCCCGUGAACCUUUACUAUAGCUUGACACUGAACAUUGAGCCUUGAUGUGUAGGAUAGGUGGGAGGCUUUGAAGUGUGGACGCCAGUCUGCAUGGAGCCGACCUUGAAAUACCACCCUUUAAUGUUUGAUGUUCUAACGUGGACCCGUGAUCCGGGUUGCGGACAGUGUCUGGUGGGUAGUUUGACUGGGGCGGUCUCCUCCUAAAGAGUAACGGAGGAGCACGAAGGUUGGCUAAUCCUGGUCGGACAUCAGGAGGUUAGUGCAAUGGCAUAAGCCAGCUUGACUGCGAGCGUGACGGCGCGAGCAGGUGCGAAAGCAGGUCAUAGUGAUCCGGUGGUUCUGAAUGGAAGGGCCAUCGCUCAACGGAUAAAAGGUACUCCGGGGAUAACAGGCUGAUACCGCCCAAGAGUUCAUAUCGACGGCGGUGUUUGGCACCUCGAUGUCGGCUCAUCACAUCCUGGGGCUGAAGUAGGUCCCAAGGGUAUGGCUGUUCGCCAUUUAAAGUGGUACGCGAGCUGGGUUUAGAACGUCGUGAGACAGUUCGGUCCCUAUCUGCCGUGGGCGCUGGAGAACUGAGGGGGGCUGCUCCUAGUACGAGAGGACCGGAGUGGACGCAUCACUGGUGUUCGGGUUGUCAUGCCAAUGGCACUGCCCGGUAGCUAAAUGCGGAAGAGAUAAGUGCUGAAAGCAUCUAAGCACGAAACUUGCCCCGAGAUGAGUUCUCCCUGACCCUUUAAGGGUCCUGAAGGAACGUUGAAGACGACGACGUUGAUAGGCCGGGUGUGUAAGCGCAGCGAUGCGUUGAGCUAACCGGUACUAAUGAACCGUGAGGCUUAACCUU